rnacentral:rRNA from 1 species
GGCGGACGGGUGAGUAAUAUAUAGGUAAUGUGCCCUAGAGAGGGGGAUAACAGUUGGAAACGACUGCUAACACCCCAUAUGCCUUUAAGACAAAAGUCUGCAAGGGAAAUAUUUAUAGCUCUAGGAUCGGCCUGUACGGUAUCAGCUAGUUGGUGAGGUAAUGGCUCACCAAGGCAAUGACGCCUAACUGGUUUGAGAGGAUGAUCAGUCACACUGGAACUGAGACACGGUCCAGACUCCUACGGGAGGCAGCAGUGGGGAAUAUUGCACAAUGGGGGAAACCCUGAUGCAGCAACGCCGCGUGGAGGAUGACACAUUUCGGUGCGUAAACUCCUUUUAUAUAGGAAGAUAAUGACGGUACUAUAUGAAUAAGCGCCGGCUAACUCCGUGCCAGCAGCCGCGGUAAUACGGAGGGCGCAAGCGUUACUCGGAAUCACUGGGCGUAAAGAGCGUGUAGGCGGGUUAAUAAGUUUGAAGUGAAAUCCUAUGGCUCAACCAUAGAACUGCUUUGAAAACUGUUAACCUAGAAUAUGGGAGAGGUAGAUGGAAUUUCUGGUGUAGGGGUAAAAUCCGUAGAGAUCAGAAGGAAUACCGAUUGCGAAGGCGAUCUACUGGAACAUUAUUGACGCUGAGACGCGAAAGCGUGGGGAGCAAACAGGAUUAGAUACCCUGGUAGUCCACGCCCUAAACGAUGUACACUAGUUGUUGUGAGGCUAGACCUUGCAGUAAUGCAGUAAACACAUUAAGUGUACC